rnacentral:rRNA from 1 species
UACAGAGGGUGCAAGCGUUAAUCGGAGUUACUGGGCGUAAAGGGCGCGUAGGCGGUUGUAUAAGUGAGAUGUGAAAUCCCUGGGCUUAACCUAGGAACUGCAUCUUAUACUGUAAGACUAGAGUACUGUAGAGGGUAGUGGAAUUUCCGGUGUAGCGGUGAAAUGCGUAGAGAUCGGAAGGAACACCAGUGGCGAAGGCGGCUACCUGGACAGAUACUGACGCUGAGGCGCGAGAGCGUGGGGAGCAAACAGG